GGGCCUGUAGCUUAGUGGCUAAGGUGCUUGGAUGUGACCCGGGAGGUUGUUGGUUCAAGUCCCUUGAGCCA